rnacentral:rRNA from 1 species
UACGUAGGGGGCAAGCGUUGUCCGGAUUUAUUGGGCGUAAAGCGUGUGUAGGCGGAUCGUUAAGUGUCUUGUGAAAUCCCACGGCUCACCCGUGGAACGGCUGGGCAUACUGGCGAUCUUGGGCCAACUAGGGGCAACUGGAACAAGCGGUGGAGCGGUGAAAUGCGUAGAUAUCGCUUGGAACGCCGAAGGUGAAAACAGGUUGCUGGGGUUGUGCCGACGCUGAGACACGAAAGCCAGGGGAGCAAACGGG